CCUGUCAACGCCCCGCGGAGUUCGCAGCCCCGGGCAGGAUGUGGGCUUGCGGUUCCCAGGAGCAGCUUUGGGGUCCAGAGCCUGAGUAGAGGGACACAUGUGGACGGAGCGUGGAGCCGAAUGAGGGUCCCGGCUGGGGAGGGGCGUGGAGAGUCAGAGGUCAUGGACCGGCGCCCAGCCGUUUGGAUGCAGGACAUCUUGGGUGCAGACUACAGUCAAUAAGUGAAGGAGCCUCCUGAUCCUGGCCUGGAUACCAGCACUUACCAGAAUGGAGUUCUGAGUUCUGGUCGUCACUAUAUUCUCAGUACCCAGUUCUGACGUUGCACGUCUACCUGCAACACUGACGAGGAAGCUGGAAACUGCACAACUGCAAAAUCUCCCAGGUCUGUAUCUUCAAGGAAGGUCGCUCCCGCCCUACAGGGGGCACUGUGUACCAGUUCCCAGCCUUGCCUUUCAGCGCCAAAGCAGCCCCUGAACUGGUCUGGUUCCCCAGAGCUGGUGGGACAGAGAACACCCCUCCCUAAGUCCAACCUGCCAAUGGAACUGACUCUUGAACUGUUCCCUCUCAGCAGAUGGGAUUCUCCUAGUUUGGUGAGCCUAAAAGGAUUCACUCUGAAAAGGGGCCACCACUUCUUUUUUUUUUUUUAAUUUUUAUUUAUUUAUUUUUGGCUGCGUUGGGUCUUCGUUGCUGCGCAUGGGCUUUCUCUAGUUGCUCCGAGCAGGGGCCACUUUUCAUUGUGGUGCGUGGGCUUCUCAUUGUGGUUGCUUAUAUUGUUGCAGUGAGUGGGCUUCGCAUUACGGGGGCUCUAGGUGCGCAGGCUUCAGUAGCUGUGGCACGUGGGCUCAGUAGUUGUGGCUCGCGGGCUCUAGAGCGCAGGCUCACUAGUUGUGGUACACAGGCUUAGCUGCUCCGUGGCAUGUGGGAUCUUCCCGGACCAGGGCUCGAACCCGUGUCCCCUGCAUUGGCAGGCGGAUUCUCAACCACUGCGCCACCAGGGAAGCCGCGGGGCCAUCACUUCUGAUUCACCCAAUCCACCUUCUCAAACUAGGAUAUGAGAUUAGGUGGAAGACAUGAGAUGCUUUCCUGGGGAAAGGGAGGAUGCCCUGUGACCCUGUUGGGGCUGUCCUGCCUUAGGGAACUGGCCCAAGAAUUCCCACCUCAAACACUAGACUCAGGGGCCUUCCUGCCUCAGGACUUUGAUCCGUUAUUUCUGCGACCCCUGCAGAAUCCCUCUGAGUGGGCUUGAGAGGGCAGGGAAUCUGAAUGGAAAGCUUAUUCAGACUGGAGACACAGGCUUUGGAUCCAGACAGAUGAGUCAAAACCCCUUGAUAUUAAGCUGUGUGGUCUCAACUCUUCCCCUCUCUGAUUCUCGUCUUCCUCAUCUAUGAAAGGGGAGAGCAAUCCCCACCCUAGGAUUGUAGUAAGAAUCUACAAUUCUUAGAUUGGACCAGCCCCUGACAGUCCUCUUGCAGAAGAACAGAUGGGGCAAGAGGGGGAGAUGGGAAGGUCAAGGGUGAGCUUGAGGGGACUAAUGUGCCCAAGGAAGUUUGGAAGGAGCACAUCUUUGCAUUCACAUAGAAAUACUAGGACACACCAGAUGUUGAUGGUGUUUACCACUAGACAGUGGAAUUGCUGUGUCUCAUGUUCCUCUUUUUGGUGCUUUUGGUGUUUUCCCAGAUUGCCUACAAUGAACAUAUGUUACUUUUGUAAUCAGAAGAAAAAGUAAAUGUUAUUUUUUUAAAACAAGAA